rnacentral:rRNA from 1 species
AACGAACGCUGGCGGCAUGCCUAACACAUGCAAGUCGAACGAAGGCUUCGGCCUUAGUGGCGCACGGGUGCGUAACGCGUGGGAAUCUGACCUUUGGUUCGGAAUAACAGCUGGAAACGGCUGCUAAUACCGGAUGAUGACGAAAGUCCAAAGAUUUAUCGCCAGAGGAUGAGCCCGCGUUGGAUUAGGUAGUUGGUGGGGUAAAGGCCUACCAAGCCGACGAUCCAUAGCUGGUCUGAGAGGAUGAUCAGCCACACUGAGACUGAGACACGGCCCAGACUCCUACGGGAGGCAGCAGUGGGGGAUAUUGGACAAUGGGCGCAAUCCUGAUCCAGCAAUGCCGCGUGAGUGAUGAAGGCCCUAGGGUUGUAAAGCUCUUUUACCCGGGAAGAUAAUGACUGUACCGGGAGAAUAAGCCCCGGCUAACUCCGUG